UACGUAGGUGGCAAGCGUUGUCCGGAUUUACUGGGCGUAAAGGGCGCGUAGGCGGCUGUACAAGUCAAAGGUGAAAUCCCUCGGCUCAACUGAGGAACUGCCUUUGAAACUGUACGGCUUGAGGCCGGGAGGGGGUAGCGGAAUUCCCAGUGUAGCGGUGAAAUGCGUAGAUACUGGGAGGAACACCAGUGGCGAAGGCGGCUUUCUGGUCUGUAACUGACGCUGAGGCGCGAAAGCGUGGGGAGCAAACAGG
rnacentral:rRNA from 1 species